GCAAGAAUAUUGGAGUGGGUUGCUAUUUCCUUCUCCAGGGGAUCUUCCUGACCCAGGAAUUGAUCCAGCUUCUCCUGCAUUGCAGGUGGUCUCUUGCAUUGCAAGUGGAUUCUUUACCACUAAGCCACCAGGGAAGCCCAGUCACAUAUGUAUAAUAGUUUAAAAUUUUCUAGUAACCACACUAAAAGAAGUAAAAAGAAAUGUGAAAUUAAUUUUAAUAAAUAUAUUGUAUUUAAUAUUGUCAAAUAUUAUCAUUUAAUCAAUAGAAAAUUUAUUAAUGGGAUGUUUUUCCUUUUUUUUAAUGUUAGGUUCAAAAUCUGAUGUGUAUUUCAUACAUCUCAGUUUGUGCCAGCCACAUUUCAAGCACUCAAUAGCCAUAUGUAGCUGGCAGCUCUUGUAUUGGACAGCACAUAUCUAGAAAUACUAUAUAAGCAAAUAUAUAUGAACUUCAAAGUUUUCUGCAGAAAAUUAUUUGAUUUUUCUUCAAGAAAUUUAUGUCUUUACGAAUUUAGUAUCUCUUUUAUAGUAGAUUCCACAAGUGAAAUGAGUGAAUAAUCUGUUCCAGAUACCUCAAACAUUACUGUUUGUCUUAAGUUUCCUCAUCUUUAAAAUGCAGAUAUAAUAGAAGCUGUCCUACUGGAUGUCAUUAAGAUUGAAUGUGUUUAAAAAAAUAUAUGAAAUGUGUAUAAACAUUAAAGCACCUAGAAAAGCACCUGGCAUAUUGUAAACAUGUGGUGGACGUAUUAAUCUGAGGUUAGAUGGUAAUAUCCUGAUAUAGUGGUUGGGGAAGAGCAGAAGAGAGGAGUAUCUUUCUUCUUUGAGACUGCAGGGAUGAAGAAUAAUUGCAGUGAAUGCUAUAGCAUUAAUCUUUGGCUAAGUAGAAUUGUGGCAUCAGUUGAGGUCUGUGGUAAGUUGAAUAUUGUUAAAUUGGUCGAAAUUAAGUCAGUUAUUUUUUAGUAAAGAAGUAAAAAUUUCAUAAGACUGAAAACAUGGCUUUGAUUGUAGAGCAUUACAAUUUUGCUUAACCUUUUUUAGUGAAACAGAGCUUUUUGGAAUAAUGUUUAGUAUAGUUACCAAUAUAAUACAUGUAGGUUAGCAAAAUAUACUGUAUUUGCUAUUUUAUAUAGUAUUAUGACUGUGGCUUCCCUUGUGGCUCAGCUGCUAAAGAAUCCGCCUGCAAUGCGGGAGACCUAAGUUUGAUACCUGGGUUGGGGAGAUCCCUUGGAGAAGGGAAAGGCUAUCCACUCCAGUAUUCUGGCCUGGAGAACUCCAUGGGCUAUAUAGUCCAUGGGGUCGCAAAGAAUCAGACAAGACUAAGCGACUCUAGCUUUAAUGACUUAACUAACAACUGAAUAUUAUUGUGAUCUUCAAGAAGAUACUUAAAGCAGUUCUUUCCAAUUCUUUUUGUUCUUCUGAAGCCUAAUACCCCCCCAGGUCCUUCAUUCUCGACAGUUUCUCCUCCCAUUUCACAGAAUGUGGCACUCCCUCAUUUUCCCAUCCUCACUUAUCAGCUUAUAGUCAUCAUCGCUGAUUCUGACCACCCCCUGCAAGUACAGUGAAAAAGUGUCCUGUUUUCACUGCAGAGGCGGGGGGAAUGCUUCUACCUAUGCUCUUAUUUCAUUACUUUUUAAUCUUCUGUUACUUGUAUAUCAGUUAUUACCUGGUUCUUGUCAUUUCAGCCUAUUUCCACUGUUUUUCCCUGCUAUAUAUGGUUUAAUGAGUUCAACUUUUUUUGUAUCAUUAGGUACAGAUACAUAUGUAAUGAAGAGAGUUGAUUCUUCUUAAUUCCUUUCUCCCUUUUCUUCUGUCUUCUUGAAAGAUCUCUUUAUACUUAUUUUAAUUCUUUCCCUCUCAGUCUGUGUUUUAACAAGCCUUCCGCAUGAUUCUGAUGCACACUGAAGCUUGAGAACCGCUGCCUGCAGUCCAUACUUGUGGAUUAACCAAGAAACUCACUAUUAUUGUUAUAAAUUGGGAGCGUAGGUUAUAGUUUUUAGAGGACUGUUAGUGUAUACUUACAUAGACAGAGUCUAUGGUUGGAUGAGUUGUUCUUUAAACCUGGAAACAGUUAAUUGUUGGUCAAUUAGGAUGAGGUUUGGCUUUUGGCUUUGGAAAACCCGAAAUAGCAGUGGCUUAAAAAAGAGGAUUCUUUCUUUCUUUCUCACUCUCUCUCUCUUUCUCUUUUUUAAUACAAGUAAUCCAGGUUUGGUGACUGCAUGAUUAUCAAAGACUUAAGCUUCUUUACUCUUAUUGUUGCUCUACCACCUUCAACAUUCAGCUUCUACUGUGAUUCAGUUUGGCUACUGUGGCUAUAUGAUCAGCCUUUUCACAUUCUAGUCAGCAUGAAGGAAAAAGAGGAGAGGUCAUAUCUCUUGUUUUUAAAGACACUUCACAAGCAGUUGCCCAAACUUUAAGUCCCAUAGGCCAGAAUUUAGACACUGGUCACACCCAGUUGUAAGGAAGCUUUGGAAAUAAAGUUGUUAUUUCAGACAGCCUUGUGUGAAAAUAUAAUUAAUGAUUUAAAAAAUUGUAUAGCAUUAUGUGGUUUGCAUUUACCAUAAAUGAUUUACCAGUUCCCUAUUGUUAGACAGUUAAGUUGCUUAUAAAAUUUUUGUUGCUAUUUUUGUUGUUCAGUUGCUCCUACUCCUUGCGACCCCAUGUACUGCAGCAUGCCAGGCUUCCCUGUCCUUCACUAUUCCCUGGAGUUUGCUCAGACUCAUGUCCAUUGAGUCGAUGAUGCCAUCCAACCAUCUCAUCCUCUGCUGCUCCCUUUUCCUCCUGCCCUCAAUCUUUCCCAACAUCAGGAUCUUUUUCAGUGAGUUGGCUCUUCGCAUUAGGUGACCAAAGUAUUGAAGCUU